UGAAUUCUCUAAGGAAUUGGUGAUUGAAUCAUUGUAGGGUUAGUGGUCAGUAUACAUGUGAGGGAAAGUCCUAGUCAAGUGCUUUUUUCGGCUUGCUGAGUGUAGGCUGCUUCUGUAAUCCAAAAUGUCCAGCUAAAUG